UAGGGAAUCUUCGGCAAUGGACGAAAGUCUGACCGAGCAACGCCGCGUGAGUGAAGAAGGUUUUCGGAUCGUAAAACUCUGUUGUUAGAGAAGAACAAGGACGUUAGUAACUGAACGUCCCCUGACGGUAUCUAACCAGAAAGCCACGGCUAACUACGUGCCAGCAGCCGCGGUAAUACGUAGGUGGCAAGCGUUGUCCGGAUUUAUUGGGCGUAAAGCGAGCGCAGGCGGUUCCUUAAGUCUGAUGUGAAAGCCCCCGGCUCAACCGGGGAGGGUCAUUGGAAACUGGGAGACUUGAGUGCAGAAGAGGAGAGUGGAAUUCCAUGUGUAGCGGUGAAAUGCGUAGAUAUAUGGAGGAACACCAGUGGCGAAGGCGGCUCUCUGGUCUGUAACUGACGCUGAGGCUCGAAAGCGUGGGGAGCAAACAGG
rnacentral:rRNA from 1 species